GGAUGCUUUGAGGGCUCUAUGGAGGUGCUGUGGGGCCAAUGUGGGGUCGCUAUGGGGUCGCUAUGGGGUCGCCCCGCAGGAGGAGCAGCAGCGCGCACACGAGGCGUGGAUGGAGCGAGCGGAGCAGGAGCUGCUGGAGCUGCAGAGGAACCUUCCAGAAAAACGCAGCCGGGGGAGGGAGCUGGAGGAGCAGCGGCUGCACAGGGAGCACCUGGUGUACGAGGUGGGAACGGGGGCUUGGGGUGACGGGGGCACUUAUGGGGCACCUGUGGGGUCACAGGAGCUGCCUUUGGGCUGCCUGGGGGCAGGUAUGGGGUCAGGGAAGUGCAAAGGGGGCACUUUGGGGUCUUGGGGGGAGAUGCGAGGCCAGAGGGACCACAUUUGGGGGGCUUAGGGGGCAGAUAUGGGGUCAGAGGGGUCACAUUUGGGGGGCUUGGGGGUCUUGGGGGCAGAUAUGGGGUCAGAGGGGUCACGUUUGGGGCAAUUGAGGGUCUUGGGUGGCAGAUAUGGGGUCAAAGGAACUGCAUUGGGGGCACUUAUGGGGUCUUGGGAGGAGAUACGAGGCCAGAGGGACCACAUUUGGGGUCCUUGGGGGCACAUAUGGGAUCAGAGGGGUCACAUUUGGGGCAAUUGAGGGUCUUGGGGGGCAGAUAUGGGGUCAAAGGAACUGCAUUGGGGGCACAUAUAAGGUCUUGGGGGCAGAUACGAGGCCAGAGGGACCAAAUUUGGGGUCUUGGNNNNNNNNNNNNNNNNNNNNNNNNNCCUUGGGGGUCUUGGGGGCAGAUAUGGGAUCAGAGGGGUCACAUUUGGGGGGCUUGGGGGUCUUGGGGGGCAGAUAUGGGGUUAGAGGGGUCACAUUUAGGGUCUUUGGGGGUCUUGGGGGCAGAUAUGGGGUCAAAGAAGUGCAAAGGGGGCACUUAUGGGGUCUUGGGGGGAGAUAGGAGGCCAGAGGGACCACAUUUGGGGUCCUUGUGGGUCUUGAGGGGAACAUAUGGGGUCAGGGGAACUGCGUUUGGGGUGCUCAGGGGUCUUGGGAGGCGGAUAUGGGGUUUAAAGAACCGGUUUUGGGGUGCUUGGGGAGCAGAGAUGGGGCAAAAGGAAACAAGUUUGGGGUCGGAGGAGAUUUGGGGGGCAAGGGGGAUGGGGGGGCAA
rnacentral:lncRNA from 1 species